GAGUGAACGCUGGCGGUAGGCCUAACACAUGCAAGUCGAACGGCAGCACAGUAAGAGCUUGCUCUUACGGGUGGCGAGUGGCGGACGAGUGAGGAAUACAUCGGAAUCUACUUUUUCGUGGGGGAUAACGUAGGGAAACUUACGCUAAUACCGCAUACGACCUACGGGUGAAAGCAGGGGAUCUUCGGACCUUGCGCGAUUGAAUGAGCCGAUGUCGGAUUAGCUAGUUGGCGGGGUAAAGGCCCACCAAGGCGACGAUCCGUAGCUGGUCUGAGAGGAUGAUCAGCCACACUGGAACUGAGACACGGUCCAGACUCCUACGGGAGGCAGCAGUAGGGAAUAUUGGACAAUGGGCGCAAGCCUGAUCCAGCCAUACCGCGUGGGUGAAGAAGGCCUUCGGGUUGUAAAGCCCUUUUGUUGGGAAAGAAAAGCAGCAGGUUAAUACCCCGCUGUUCUGACGGUACCCAAAGAAUAAGCACCGGCUAACUUCGUG
rnacentral:rRNA from 1 species